rnacentral:rRNA from 1 species
UACGGAGGGUGCGAGCGUUGUCCGGAAUCACUGGGCGUAAAGGGCGCGUAGGCGGCCUGAUAAGUAGGGGGUGAAAUCCUGCGGCUUAACCGCAGGGCUGCCUUCUAAACUGUCAGGCUCGAGCACAGUAGAGGCAGGUGGAAUUCCGGGUGUAGCGGUGGAAUGCGUAGAGAUCCGGAAGAACACCGGUGGCGAAGGCGGCCUGCUGGGCAGUAGCUGACGCUGAGGCGCGACAGCGUGGGGAGCAAACAGG